rnacentral:rRNA from 1 species
UACGUAGGGCGCAAGCGUUAUCCGGAAUUAUUGGGCGUAAAGAGCUCGUAGGCGGUUUGUCGCGUCUGCCGUGAAAGCCCGGGGCUCAACCCCGGGUCUGCAGUCGAUACGGGCAGGCUAGAGUUCGGUAGGGGAGAUCGGAAUUCCUGGUGUAGCGGUGAAAUGCGCAGAUAUCAGGAGGAACACCGGUGGCGAAGGCGGAUCUCUGGGCCGAUACUGACGCUGAGGAGCGAAAGCGUGGGGAGCGAACAGG